UCUAAACGACUCUCGGCAACGGAUAUCUCGGCUCUCGCAUCGAUGAAGAACGUAGCGAAAUGCGAUACUUGGUGUGAAUUGCAGAAUCCCGUGAACCAUCGAGUCUUUGAACGCAAGUUGCGCCCGAAGCCAUUCGGCKGAGGGCACGCCUGCCUGGGCGUCACGC
rnacentral:rRNA from 1 species